CUUUGAUGUGUCUGUACUACUGGGGCUGGGGUGAGUAGAAGGUUUCUUCCCUUGUUUCUACCCUUUUCAUGUAAAAGUAGAAAAGCAAAAAGAAUGGGAAAUGUACCUUCUUUGGGAGGAAUGCUUUUGUAAGAAGAGUAAAGUGUUGGAAGUCAGAGCUGGGUCUGAAUCAGAGAUAUCUCAGUUAAAAGUAGCACCUCCACCAGAGCUGAAAACCGGUUUCUUCUCUCACCUCUUCCUCCUGCUGAGUCUCAACCUUCUCCUGAAUCAUGGUUGUGGAGCCAGUUCACUGAGAUCUCGUGGAGACACAAGCUGAGAAACCCCACACGUCCUCUGGGGAAACUGUGUCAGCCGGCGCCUAUCCCACUGGUAUUGAGCCAGCCCAAGUCGACUGCCAUUAACCCAGAUGGUGCUGCCUCUUUCAGAAUACCCCUCCCAGUCUUUCUCCAGCAAAAAGGAAGGACCCCAGUUUUUGUCCAGGUUGCAGUUGCUCUCUGGUCUCUAGCCAUGCCUGUUAACACCUAUUAACACAGAACAGAUCAGAGCCCCCACCUACUCCAUGCUCUGGGUGGAGUUCUGAAAAUGAAACUCGCUCAGUCAUGUCCAACUCUUUGUGACCCCAGGGACUAUACAGUCCAUGGAAUUCUCCAGGCCAGAAUACCGGAGUGGGUAACCUUUCUCUCCUCUAGGGGAUCUUCCCAAUCCAGGGAUCGAACCCAGGUCUCCCACAUUGCAGGCGGAUUCUUUACCAGCUGAGCCACAAGGGAAGCGGGAGUUCUGAACUGUCACGGAGUGGUCCACAUGGUGUGCAAAAGGAGGCAGAGAAGCGUGCAGCAACAACACCCCACACUGAUGGCAAAUACCUGCAGCUGGAAUAGCCCAGCAUCGCCACAGAAUCACAGUGGAUGGUGAUUCACGUUUGCAAGUCAGCCUGGAUUUCAAACAUCGACAUUUCCUGAUAAGUUCAUGGCAUUCCCGUGAGCCAGACUCCUUCUCCACCUGGGGAUCAGAAAAAGUCACAACAGCCAGCAGAGUCACCUUGAUCAUACAGAUCGUUGCUUCAAUCUCUUAUGAGAUGACCCCUUCAACCCUCUGCUGUGGGCCACCUGCAAAUGUCUGCUUCUUCCUUGAGUGGAUUCUUUACCAGCUGAGCCACAAGAGAAGCCCACUUCUUCUGUGAAAACACAGACAAACUGCUCAUCCUGACUCAGCCUGGCAGGUACCUCCUUCUCCCCGGCCCUUUCCAGGCUCCUUCAGAUUCUGCAUGUUCUUGUUGACCUGGGAUAAAUAGUAAGCAAAAUUUCUCUCGAUUUCCCCUAGCCUCUAGGGCAAAGCCAGCUCUGAUGUCCAGUGCCAGCGCACACCCUCCCACGGUGAGGCCUACAACCUCCAGCCUGGGCCCAGGCACAGGGCCACACGCACGAGUUCUGCAGGCCCCUGGCCACGCGGCGCACGAGGGGGGGUGGUGUGGGGGUUCUUGGCUCCCUCUCUGUGGCAGCCCCAAACCCCACCUCCAGGGCUUCAGAGCCUUCACACCUUUCCUCCCCUGGCCUGUGAGAUUCUUUCCCAUGAAAGGAUCGAAGCUCCUUCAUCCUACAUCCAAGGCAGACAUGAUGAGCUCAGCUGGAGCCCUCACUGCUCCAGAAGAUGCCCAGGGAUCUGAACCUGAAGCUGAAAGAGGGAGCCCCUCUGUUUCUGUGCAGUUUGGGGUGCCUCCUUCCCAGCCCUCUGUCCCUUUUGUCCCCUUGUGCUGAAGAUGCAGGGGGCAAAGAGCAUUCCAAGUGGGCCUGAGGAUGGGAGAGCCAUGCAGACAGGGCU
ensembl:lncRNA